CCUACGGGUGGCUGCAGUGGGGAAUAUUGGACAAUGGGCGCAAGCCUGAUCCAGCCAUGCCGCGUGAGUGAUGAAGGCCUUAGGGUUGUAAAGCUCUUUCACCGGAGAAGAUAAUGACGGUAUCCGGAGAAGAAGCCCCGGCUAACUUCGUGCCAGCAGCCGCGGUAAUACGAAGGGGGCUAGCGUUGUUCGGAAUUACUGGGCGUAAAGCGCACGUAGGCGGACAUUUAAGUCAGGGGUGAAAUCCCGGGGCUCAACCUCGGAACUGCCUUUGAUACUGGGUGUCUUGAGUGUGGAAGAGGUCAGUGGAAUUGCGAGUGUAGAGGUGAAAUUCGUAGAUAUUCGCAGGAACACCAGUGGCGAAGGCGGCUGACUGGUCCACAACUGACGCUGAGGUGCGAAAGCGUGGGGAGCAAACAGGAUUAGAUACCCUUGUAGUC
rnacentral:rRNA from 1 species